rnacentral:rRNA from 1 species
GACGAACGCUGGCGGCGUGCUUAACACAUGCAAGUCGAACGGAAAGGCCCUGCUUUUGUGGGGUGCUCGAGUGGCGAACGGGUGAGUAACACGUGUGUAACCUGCCCUUGACUUUGGGAUAACUUCAGGAAACUGGGGCUAAUACCGGAUAGGAGCUCCUGCUGCAUGGUGUGGGUUGGAAAGUUUCGGCGGUUGGGGAUGGACUCGCGGCUUAUCAGCUUGUUGGUUGGGUAGUGGCUUACCAAGGCUUUGACGGGUAGCCGGCCUGAGAGGGUGAACGGGGACAUGGGGACUGAGAGACGGCGCAGACGGGAACGGGAGGCAGCAGGGGGGAAUAUGGCACAAUGGGAGGAAGCCGGAUGCAGAAACGCCGCGUGCGGGAUGACGGCCUGCGGGUUGUAAACAGCUGUAGCCUGUGACGAAGCGUGAGUGACGGUAAUGGGUAAAGAAGCACCGGCUAACUACGUG